UACGUAGGGGGCAAGCGUUGUCCGGAUUUAUUGGGCGUAAAGAGCGUGUAGGCGGCCAUUCAGGUCAGCUGUGAAAACUCGAGGCUCAACCUCGAGACGUCGGUUGAAACCGUUUGGCUAGAGUCCGGAAGAGGAGAGUGGAAUUCCUGGUGUAGCGGUGAAAUGCGUAGAUAUCAGGAGGAACACCGGUGGCGAAGGCGGGUCUCUGGGCCGAUACUGACGCUGAGGCACGAAAGCGUGGGGAGCAAACAGG
rnacentral:rRNA from 1 species